rnacentral:rRNA from 1 species
AUGCACGCUGGCGGCGUGCUUAACACAUGCAAGUCGAACGGAAAGGCCAGUGCUUGCACUGGUGCUCGAGUGGCGAACGGGUGAGUAACACGUGGGUGAUCUGCCCUGCACUUUGGGAUAAGCCUGGGAAACUGGGUCUAAUACCAGAUAGGACCAUGCUUUGGAUGGUGUGGUGGAAAGUUUUUUCGGUGUGGGAUGAGCUUGCGGCCUAUCAGCUUGUUGGUGGGGUAAUGGCCUACCAAGGCGUCGACGGGUAGCCGGCCUGAGAGGGUGUACGGCCACAUUGGGACUGAGAUACGGCCCAGACUCCUACGGGAGGCAGCAGUGGGGAAUAUUGCACAAUGGGCGCAAGCCUGAUGCAGCGACGCCGCGUGGGGGAUGACGGCCUUCGGGUUGUAAACUCCUUUCGCAACUGACGAAGCUUUUUGUGACGGUAGGUUGAGAAGAAGCACCGGCUAACUACGUG